rnacentral:tRNA from 1 species
GGUAAGGUGUCCGAGUGGUUGAAGGAGCACGCCUGGAAAGCGUGUAUGUGGGAAACUGCAUCAAGGGUUCAAAUCCCUUCCUUACCG